rnacentral:ncRNA from 2 species
CACCACCCACUGCUCCUACCGAUUGAAUUGUUCAAUGAAGUGUUUGAAUCACGACGACAUGAGCGGUUCGUUGCCCACGACGUCGUGAGGAGUCCACUAAACCUUCAUUUAAAGAAGAAGAAGCCGUAUCAAGGUUUCCGUAAGUGAAUCUGCGGAAG